UCAUGAUUUACAUUUGAUUGAGUGGCGAACUGGKGAGUAACACGUGGGAAACCUGCCCAGAAGMGGGGGAUAACACCUGGAAACAGAUGCUAAUACCGCAUAACAACUUGGACCGCAUGGUCCGAGYUUGAAAGAUGGCUUYGGCUAUCACUUUUGGAUGGUCCCGCGGCGUAUUARCUARAUGGUGRGGUAACGGCUCACCAUGGCAAUGAUACGUAGCCGACCUGAGAGGGUAAUCSGCCACAUUGGGACUGARACACGGCCCAAACUCCUACGGGAGGSAGCAGUAGGGAAUCUUCCACAAUGGACGAAAGUCUGAUGGAGCAACGCCGCGUGAGUGAAGAAGGGUUUCGGCUCGUAAAACUCUGUUGUUAAAGAAGAACAUAUCUGAGAGUAACUGUUC
rnacentral:rRNA from 1 species